AAGUCGUAACAAGGUUUCCGUAGGUGAACCUGCGGAAGGAUCAUUACUGAGAGCGGGGCUUCGCGCUCCCGGGGGCUCCGGCCCCCAACUCUUCACCCAUUGUCUAUCUACCUUUGUUGCUUUGGCAGGCCCCGGGGUGCUCCCCGCGCCGGCUAUUCGCCGGUGAGUGCCUGUCAGAGGCCCAUUAAAUUCUGUUUAUCAAUGAUGUCCGAGUGAAAACAUAAUAGAAAAAAACUUUCAACAACGGAUCUCUUGGUUCUG
rnacentral:misc_RNA from 1 species